rnacentral:SRP_RNA from 1 species
GCUGGGCAUGGUGGUGCGUGCCUGUAAUCCCAGCUACUCAGGAGGCUGAGGCAGGAGAAUCGCCUGAACCCAGGAGGCGGAGGUUGCGGUAAGCCGAGAUCACGCCAUUGCACUCCAGCCUGGGUAACAAGCGCGAAACUCCGUCUCAAAAAAAAAUUACCCACCUUUAAAAAAAAAAACUAGUGACAAAAAUGAUUAGUGUUUUGUUUUGUUUUUGUUUUUUUGAGACUGAGUCUUGCUCUGUCGCCCAGGCUGGAGUGCAGUGGUGCCAUCUCAGCUUACUGCAACCUCUACCUCCUGAGUUAAAGCAAUUCUCCUGCCUCAG